GCGUUCAAUUCAGCAGCACACAUACUAACACUGGAACAAUUCAGAGAAGAUCAGCAUGGCUCCUGCGCAAGGAUGACAUGCAAAUUCGUGAAGCGUUCGUAUUUUUA
rnacentral:snRNA from 1 species